UUAGAAUUGACGGGACCGCACAAGCGGUGGAUGAUGUGGAUUAAUUCGAUGCAGCGCGAAGAACCUUACCUACCCUUGACAUGUCCGGAACUUGCCAGAGAUGGCUUGGUGCCCGAAAGGGAAUCGGAACACAGGUGCUGCAUGGCUGUCGUCAGCUCGUGUCGUGAGAUGUUGGGUUAAGUCCCGCAACGAGCGCAACCCUUAUCAUUAGUUGCUACGCAAGGGCACUCUAAUGAGACUGCCGGUGACAAACCGGAGGAAGGUGGGGAUGACGUCAAGUCCUCAUGGCCCUUAUGGGUAGGGCUUCACACGUAAUACAAUGGUCGGUACAGAGGGUUGCCAACCCGCGAGGGGGAGCCAAUCCCAGAAAACCGAUCGUAGUCCGGAUUGCAGUCUGCAACUCGACUGCAUGAAGUCGGAAUCGCUAGUAAUCGCGGAUCAGCAUGUCGCGGUGAAUACGUUCCCGGGCCUU
rnacentral:rRNA from 1 species